rnacentral:rRNA from 1 species
UACAGAGGUCCCAAGCGUUGUUCGGAUUCACUGGGCGUAAAGGGUGCGUAGGCGGUCGAGUAAGUCUGACGUGAAAUCUCCGGGCCUAACCCGGAAACUGCGUUGGAAACUACUUGGCUAGAGGAAUGGAGGGGAGACUGGAAUACUUGGUGUAGCAGUGAAAUGCGUAGAUAUCAAGUGGAACACCAGUGGCGAAGGCGAGUCUCUGGACAUUUCCUGACGCUGAGGAGCGAAAGCGUGGGGAGCGAACAGG